GCUGGGCGUGGUGGCGCGUGCCUGUAAUCCCAGCUACUCAGGAGGCUGAGGCAGGAGAAUCGCUUGAACCAGGGAGUCGGAGGUUACAGUGAGCCGCGAUCGCGCCACUGCACUCCAGCCUGGCAACAGAGCGAGACUCUGUCUCAA
rnacentral:sRNA from 1 species